GAUAGUUGUUAGUACGGUAUUGUAAGCCCCUGGAGUUGAAGGGGUGACUGUAGAGAGGACUCCCUUUUCUCUCGAGUCCUGAUUAGUUAUGGCACUCCUACUUGAUGGUGUUUUGAAGGUGCAGAGGAAUGUGUUCUAUUCAAUGCUAUCUCAGGAGCGGUCGUCUGGCAGUCGGAGUGUUGUCGGUCCAAACCCGGCCCUGGGUGUGUCAAAGUUUACCUGAGCAAGACGGCUAACCCCCAAUUGCUGGUAUCUGUUCCCCACGUGAUGAAGAGGCCCUCCUCAGCCGGGCACUGCAGCAUUUAAACACAUACUUCUUCAAACGAUUGCUGUACAGCUGCACGUGCAUUUUAGAGAGUGGUGGUUGCAGGAGGCUCUGAAAUUAACAAAGCUACAUCCAAAUUAAUUUCAUAUAAAGGGAAAGUAUAGGACUGUAAAUUAAAUCCAACACGGAUGCACUUCUUCAUUCUUUUUAAUUUUAAGUCAAAAUGGCACAGUCCCACUGCAUUUGAAUAUGUUGAUUUAUUCACAGUCACCUGUUGCUACUCUAAAUCUGUUGGGAGGUCUUGUUAUGAUUAAACAACCUGUAAUUAAGUAUAAAUGCAAAGCUAGAGUACUUUGUGGGGAUAAGUGCAGGUUUUCAGCAUAAUCACCCCUGAAAAUAGUAAGAUUAUAUAAGUAGAAAUGAAUAUGUUUGGCAAUGCUUUGUAUUUGAGUAACUUUUCCUCUGCAAGCAAUGACCAUUCUGAAUGGUUAACUACCAUUGAUUCUUGAAAUGUAUUUGUUUGAUUUGAAGAGAGCUACAAGAGGAUAGGGUGGGUUUCAGUCACCAAGUGUCCUCUUCUCUCAUUGGCCAGCAGCGUUGCACUGCAGUUUACUUCAAGGGGGCAUCUCCUGUACAAUGGAUUCAUUCCAAUCGUUUAUUUUUCUCCUCUUUUUUCUUCUCCUUUCUUCUUUCUGUACUCCUAGCUCCACCCAUCAGGAGAGGCUAGAAAAAUAAGUGAAGACAGAGAAAUUGAGAACGUUAAUUAGACAUGUCAGUUACAGACAUGAUAGAAGUGUGGCAGAUAGGGAGAGGUGGACCUACAGGUUGAUGAUUUAUACGUCAUGUUUUCCAAAAAAAAUACUUCCACAAAGGAUGCACUCAUUCCUUUAAAGAUUGGGAGUUCCUAACUUCUAAAGGGUUGAAAUGUCCUUAAA